rnacentral:ncRNA from 1 species
CGAAGUAGAAUCUUACGCGUUAAGUGCCCGUGGAUGGGGAGUUGUCACGGGACGAAAAGCCCAAAGGCUUACGGUGUCUGAUUCGCACCCGUUG